CGGUGGCUUGCUACAGGGUGAAACCGUCCUGGAUAUCUUUUCUCGGUAAAAAUCGCGUAAAAAGGAAACACCGCGGAAAAUCACCGCUCCGUGGUCGCGGCACGACUGAACGGCGAACCGCCUCCGCGCCGGUUCCGCGACGCGCUCAGAUUCUACUUCAAUUCGUUUUCGCUGAGCUGGUUAUAAAACAUUAAAAAGAAGAAAAAAACAUAUUUGAUGGAAGAUUUUUUUUAUUAUAAAUACCACGCACGCAAUCGUUAAAUGUCGAUGCAUGAUCUAUGAAUAAUCAAUCAAUGCUCUAAUAAUCUGAAAACUGAAAUACGUCGGCCAAUCUAUAAAAAUGAGUGAUCUAAGUUGAACGAGAUCGAUCGUAACAACAGAAGGUCACAUCCAUCACACGGAAGAUAACAGCGGAUCGGACAGGAGACUUGUACCGAGCUUCGUCGAUAAGAAAGCUGGCAAAGUUACUGGAUCGUUUGCAACGAUUAGACGGACAACGAUUGGGAAUGGUUGCGGCUGCAGCGAUUGGACAAAGAGUGUGGACAAAAUGGUGGACAAAACGGUGGACGAAACGGUGGACAAAACGGUGGGCAAAACGGUGGGCAAAACGGUGGACAAAACGGGGGACAAAACGGCGGACAAAACGGCGGACAAAACGGCGGACGAACGGUAGCGACGACGAAGAAGGGAUAAAAUCGGACAAAUGGAUAAAAAAUCGUUCGCGUCGUUCAAUUGGGUUUGACGUUUCUCUUUCGUGGAGGGGUAGGAGUAUAUUUCACUUAAAUAUAGAGGACCGGUCGGCGUAGAUACUUAUACGACGUUGGACAUAUUCACGCUCUUCGAGCGAAGGAAGAAGCAAAAGCAGCAGCAGCAGCAGCAGCAGAAGGAGUAGGUAAU